rnacentral:RNase_P_RNA from 1 species
GCAGCAGGACGGUCCAGUCGCUGGCCGACGUAUAGAGCGGCGAGAGGAAAGUCCGGGCAACACAGAGCACCAUACUUUCUAACGGAAAGCUGUCGGUGACGGCAGAGUAGCGUGACAGAAAACGACCGCCCGAGGGGCAUUGACCGCCUCGGGUAAGGGUGAAAAGGCGAGGUAAGAGCUCACCGGGUUCCGCAGCAAUGCGGGAUGCCGCACGUCUUAUGGGUUGCAAGGCCAAGUAUACCGGCAUCUAAGGGCUGCUCGUCCAUUGCCGGGGGGUAGGCUGCUGGAGCACGUUGGUGACAACGCUGCGUAGAUAAAUGACUGACCGUCGCGUCAACCCCUUCCUGUUUUGAGUCAAGGGAAGUGACGGCGAUGACAUAACCCGGCUUAUAGUCCUGCUGCUUUA